AAGUGUUAUAUUUAUUUAAUCUAAUACUUUAAGUAUUUAUAUUUUAAUUUCCAGAUGACUCCCUGAAAAUAAAUAAGGAGUCAUAGUUUAAAACACACACACACACAAGGUACAUAAUCCAUACUAAAAUAAACAUCAAAAAACCCUUACAAAACAAUGACAAUCCAGAAGAUCAGGAAGGCGGAACAGAGGAAAUAAGAGUUUCAGACGUCGACUUCAACCCAGCCACAUCACUAGCUCCGAUGUGCAUGGACUAAACACUGCCACUGAGAGAGACUGUCCGAGCAGGGCAAAGGCAAGCCUCCAUAUACGCUUUUACAAAGAAACACUCUUUUGCGACAAAGAUGCAAAUAGAUUCAAACUGAAAAGACAAACAAAUGUACACCACAAAAUGCUUGUUAUCAAGAAGCUGCACAGGUGUACCUAUUGCAGGUGAGACAGAUGGUGAGAAGGACCAGCAUCACCAGGGACAGAGAAGGAUGUUUUCUAGGAAUGAGUCCACUUGCUUAGGAAACCUAAUGAUGAUAAGCACGUAUGUACCUGAUAUAAAAUAACAAAGUACGUGAAGCAAAAAUAAUCACAGUUAAAGGAUAAAUGCUUAAAUUCACAGUUUGACAAUUCUGAUAACUAUAUAUCAGGAAUUAAGAGAAAAACCAGUCAAAUGACCAGAUAGAAGAGAUUAUAACUAGAGCACUGGGAGAAAACCACAAAUGCAAUGAUGAGCUAAUACUUUAGAAAUAUUUAAAAAUGUGGGACACUAAGGAAAAGUAUAUAGGCUGGAAACCCUAAAAACCAGCAUCAGAAGGAAGUGGGAAAGGAAAUGUCAGAAAUACAUCUGGAGGAAGGAAAACACAAUCAAGGAUAAAGUUUUGCAAAUCCAAAAUCACAUGAUAGAAAUAAGUUCAAAUAUAUCACUUUUUCCUACCAAACACAGAGAGGUUAACCUCACAUAUUAGAAUACAAGAUUAUCAGUAGCAAAGGAGAACUUACAAAUCAAGGGCAAAAAAAUAAGGAAAUGAAACCACUAAGUAUUCACAGAAAGAAAGUUUCUAUGGCAAAAUUAAUCUUAGCUCAAAUAAAAUUUAAGGAAGAAAUAAUAAACAGCAGGAUGGACACUGCACGUGAGCCAUAGGACCAAGGAGGUGAUGAAGUUCAGUGCUGGCCUCACCUCCAGGACAUACAGGCAGACUGACGAGAGGAGCAGAUCCAGAGAGGAACGCUGGGAUCCGUACUUCUCAAUUUAAAUGGAAAAUAGACAGAAACGUUAGGGUUUAUUAAAGGUUUAAAAGCCACAACACAUACUGAAUACACAUUAUUUUCUAGUACAGGUGAUACUUACCAAAUAGGAUCUGUAUUAAGUUGAAAACAAAAUUACAAAAAAAAAAAAAGACGUGGGGACCAAACAAUUAAUAGAAGUCAAAACAAAAAUCAAACCUGGCUGGGCACAGUGGCUCAUGUCUAUAAUUCCAGUACUUUGGGAGGCCGAGGCGGGCGGAUCACCUGAGGUCGGGAGUUUGAGACCAGCCUGGCCAACAUGGUGAAACCCUGUCUGCACUAAAAAUACAAAAAUUAGCCAGGCGUGGCAGCAGGUGCCUGUAGUCAGAGCUACUUGGGAGGCUGAGGCAGGAGAAUUGCUUGAACCUGGGAGGCAGAGGUUGCAGUGAACCAAGAUUGUGCCACUGCACUCCAGCCUGGGUGACAGAGGGAGACUCCCUCUCAAAAAAGAAAAGAAAAGAAAAAAACCCACAUAUUAUAUUUUGGGGGAAAUGGCACAGUGAUUAAAUGGUAAAUCACUAUAAAUGUUAUAAAUGUGAAGGAAUUCACUUAGAAUAAAGAUAAAAUGCUAGAGUUCAAUCCACAAUAUAUGACAGCCUGGCAUUCUGUAGGAUGGCACAGGAAAGGGUGCUGUCCCAAGUAAGGGUGGCCCUCAGGUCAUGGAUGGGGAAGGAAACCCCCAGUCCUGGAUAGAGAAGGAAACCCCCAGUCCUGGAUAGAGAAGGAAACCCCCAGUCCUGGAUAGAGAAGGAAACCCCCAGUCCUGGGUAGAGAAGGACACCCCCAGUCCUGGAUAGAGGGCACCCCCAGUCCUGGAUAGAGAAAGACACCCCCAGUCCUGGAUAGAGAAGGAAACCCCCAGUCCUGGAUAGAGGACACCCCCAGUCCUGGAUAGAGAAGGACUCCCUCAGUCCUGGAUAGAGGAUACCCCCAGUCCUGGAUAAAGAAGGAUGCCCCCAAAACCUGUAUGGAGAAGGACACCCCCCAGUCCUGGAUAGAGAAGGAAACCCCUAGUCCUGGAUAGAGAAGGACACCCCCAGUCCUGGAUAGAGGAUACCCCCAGUCCUGGAUAAAGAAGGAUGCCCCCAAAACCUGUAUGGAGAAGGACACCCCCCAGUCCUGGAUGGAAAAUGCUGUCCCUCAGUUUCCUAAUGGAGACAAAUACCUUUGGGACCUCAUGGGGAAGGAUGGGAAGGAGCCUUCCCAUCCAUAGUUGUCCUGACCUGUUAAUGUAGAUUUGGGGAAAUAAACAUGAGGUUAAACUUUACUCCUAACCCUUUCAAUCAACAUUUUAUAAAUACUAGAUUUCAUUUUAUAAAGAUAAAUCAAAUGUGUAACACAAAUAGGGUAUAACAACAGAUUAAACCUAUUUUUCUAAAUCUGAGUCCUGGCAAUGGGCUCUAUUAUUCUGUAUUUGUAAAACGGGCUCUACUUUUCUGUAUUUGUAAAACUUUUCAAACUUGAAAAUAAGAGCUCAUUGAAGAAAACGUGACCGUUCAAAAAUUAGUUUAUUCUAUGGUCUCCCUUGGAGGGGUUAUGAUCUCCUACAAUUCCUAGUGGAUAUAUAUUACGAGCUCAGUGGUGAAAACACACAAUAAGAAAAUAUUCUAUUUUGUUAGAAAUUAAUGUUGAGUGAAUACUAAUCAAAACUUUAAAACCCAAAUUGGGCAUAAGAAUAGAUUAUUCCAUUUAAUUCUCUACUGACUUUAAAUGUAAUUGCUAAAUUUACCCUUUGCCCAUUUCACCUCCUUCAAAUCUCCCAGUAAUUCUUUGUUUUCCUCUCCUGUCAAUAUUCUGUUCUCAUUUAUUUAUUUUUUCCUAUUUCCUGAUUUUUUUGAACAACUCCGAGGGACUCGUGUUUUGUUUGCAUUAGGAUGAGUUCAUUACACAAACCCCUGAAGCAACUAGACCCUCACCACAGAGAGCACCUGAGACUCCAGACGGAGCAUGGGGCCUCUCCUGGCAUCGACUCAGGCUACCUGACAAAUGGAACCACUAAGCCCAACCCAGUGACUUGUCUCUUCUGAGAAGACCUAUAAGAUUCCUUUCCUUAGAAUCACAACUUUCUCUUUUCAGGAGCGUUGAAGCUCUCAGACGUUCACGCACAGAGCGGUGCUUGGAGCUGAUUGACCUCCUGCAGGAAGCAGCAGAGGCGCCCGGGGCUCCGUGUCCUCAGACAGUGACCCAGAGGAUGCCACAGACCCAUUUUCUCAGAAAACAACCAAGAGAUGCAGAGGGCUCUACGUCCUCCCACAUGACCAGGAAGAAACCGAGACCGCUAUGUCUUCAGACAGUCCAGGAGGGACGCCGGGGGCCCCAUGGUCAGGACAGCGGGGUUCUGGUUCUUCCUGAAUGCCAGCCGGUCCCUCUAUCUUGAACACUUUUUGUCAUUGAAGUAAGGACUGAGGGUGCGCUUACCUGCAGCCAAAACAGUCUUCAGUGGUGUAAACGUGCAGGUGACUGAGUCUCUAUGACGCAUGCGCCUGGGAACCCGGCAGGUCCGUCCCUGGGCUGUGGGGGGCGUUCUGCAAAUCUAACUACCCAGAGUCAAGGUCUGCUCAUGUAUGAACGUCAGUCGUCCCCACAGCCAUUUACACCAAAACCACGGGGAAAUGGCAUGGAUUUAUCCAAGGGUAGUAGCAAGCGCAGCUGUUUCCUAAAAGGUUCCAGAAGAUUGCCCAGAAUCUCAAAAUGCACAGGAAGCCCCAGUGCCUGGUGGGAACCUGACAGGCUCACCAUGGCUGGAAAAUGCUGCCACUUUUUGUAAGUCCACUUUUGAAAAUGGGCAUGAACAUGAGAACGUGACCAUUCCUAUUUUGUUCAUUUCAUGUAUUCAACAAGUGUUUUCAGCCGUCCUUGUGUUAGGUGUAGGGUAGAUGCCAAAACAUGGAACGUGCUGCCCUUCAGAACACCAUCAAGUGGGGAGGAGAGGCCUUGAGUCAGUGAACCCACUGGUAGCUGGUAAGUGUGCAUGUGUGUGAGAGAGAGCGACUGUGGAAAUGAUUUUGAGGAAAAGUGCAUUGCUGAGAUAUUGUGGAACUUUUAGCCUAAAAAUAUGACUUUCAAAAAUAGGACUCUAGAUUUUCUGUUAAUGGAAAUUCUUUUCAGAAAUUUGGCUUAAAAAGUAUCUUUGAGAUAGUAUUUUUGAAGGGGAGGCUUGACCUCACUUUCCUAAAUAAUAGAUACCCCUGAGAGUUUACAUUUUAAUAGGUGAACUAUUAUUGACUCUUCAAAUUCAGGUGCUUAUAAACAAAGCAGACACCACCAAGACUUACAUGAAGCAAGAGUCUAAGGAAACAAAACCACUGGAGCCUGGAGAGGCAGGGCAGGAGGCAACGCCCUGUCACCGGGAACUGGGGAGCCGGCCCACGCUAUCCCCCAAAAAGAAGUGCCCAGUCUCCACGCCCUGCAGAGCAGGCCCACGCCGCCCCCAGGACAUGGUGACAGCCCAGGCAGAGCAGAGAGGACCCCAGAUCAGAACAGGAUGAGGGCAAACCUAAAAAACAUGAAUUGUAAAAGCAACUGUCUUCCUAAAAAGAUGAGUCUGAAGGCUGCAUUCCUAAUAAUACAAAGCAUUUAAAUGUUUCCCAUGAUGGAGAAAAAUGUUAAGUGUUCCUUUUUUCUUGUUUCAUGAAUGAAAACCUAUACUAAAGUGUAACAUACAUCAUUUGUCUUUAGCAUUGUAUUUUAAAAUUUUAAAUGUCUCACCAGGAUUUGGAAAAAUACGUAAAGUAUUAGAGCCAUCAGAGAAACAACACAACUUUUUGUGACUUAAAGAGAUUAGAUGCUGGCGCUGCGGGUGGAGGCAAGUCCCAUGGGGUGGCAUGUCGUGACCACACAGGAAGCUGCCUUAAGAAGCCGCUUUUCCCCUCACCACACACUCAGCCACCAUGUCCUGUGUCCUGUGUCACCAAAAUAUUUGAACCAGGGUCACAAACAAAGUUCUAUUCCUUACCAGAUUUUAAAAAAGUUAUUAGGUCUUUUAAAACCUAACUUGUCAAAUGAGAAUAAAGCUCCUCUCUGUGAAGCACAAAUUAAACAAUUCAGGAGCCAGAUGGAAAACAGCGGCUCAGGGAGCUUCAGGUCGCCACUGAACUAAAAUGCUUUAUCAGGAACGAAUAGAAAACAGGGGUCAUUAUAAUACAUAUUAAGAACCAGGUGCUGCACCCUCAAGAGGCCUCACACCUUAUACACCAGGGGGUCAGGGGUCCAGGUCAGUUAACCAAAAUGAACAGGAUUUGGCACAGGACAAGUGGAGUAAAAUUCUGGACAUUCCGGCUGCCAUGUCCGUACACUUGGACCACUUGCUCACCUGUGUGAAAGUCAGGAUAAGACAGCACUUGCCUCAGCUCUCCCAGGACCUUCCUCACAUCCUACUGGAACUACAGAGACCCUCCCCACCUCCUCCUGGGAGCACAAGACCUUACCCACCUCCUCCUGGGAACACAGGGACCCU